GGAUAUAGUUAGCAAGUCAGAAAACAUUCGAAUGAAAAUGCCAUGAGAGACAAAUUAGUCUGCUGGUUUCUUAAAAAUUUAGCUGUGGAUCCCUUUCUCCAAAUGAAUUCUUAAGGGGCUAUGAGCUUAGUCACUCAGACACGUCCAACUCUUUGCGACCCCCAGGCUCCUCUGUGCAUAGGAUUUUCCAGCCCACAGUGGGCUACCAUUUCCUCCAAAGGAUCUUCCUAACCCUAGGAUUGAACCCGCAUCUGCUGUGUCUCCCAGAUUGCAGGCAGAUUCUUUACCAGGUGAGCCAUCAGGGAAACUCUUAAGGGAUGGCCUAGUAUUUAAACUGUUAAGGUUGGAGCUCGUUGGGUUGCUAUGGGCAUGGGGGCCUGAGACCAGGCAGUGGCACGACAAGGGGAGACGGGAAGCCCCCAGCUGCAGAGAUGAGUGGGGCUUUCGUUGUGGUCUUCAGCACAAGCACCUGUGUUUCGCUGCUCAUCUGUCAGGGAAGGUAAAAGAAACUCAAGGAGGAGGAGAACUGAUUCAAUGGACCAGGGAAUGCAAUUGGGAGGGGGCUGAUGGAAUGCUUCAACUGGCUGAACCUGACCAUACUUCUGCUGGGAACUGCACAUCCUGGAAAAGCACCUGGGCUUGAGCCUGUAAGAACAUAAAUCCGCCACAGGAGAACAAGGUCUCAAACAGGAAUUCCGGGGCCCAGCUUCACCAGGUGCUCUCACGUCUCUUAUC
ensembl:lncRNA